rnacentral:rRNA from 1 species
GGAGCGAACGCUGGCGGCAGGCCUAACACAUGCAAGUCGAACGGACCCUUCGGGGUUAGUGGCGGACGGGUGAGUAACACGUGGGAACGUGCCUUUAGGUUCGGAAUAGCUCCUGGAAACGGGUGGUAAUGCCGAAUGUGCCCUUCGGGGGAAAGAUUUAUCGCCUUUAGAGCGGCCCGCGUCUGAUUAGCUUGUUGGUGAGGUAAUGGCUCACCAAGGCUACGAUCAGUAGCU